rnacentral:rRNA from 1 species
CANUGGAGGAACUCUGAUGCANCGACGCCGCGCUGAGUGAAGAAGUAAUUCNUUAUGUAAAGCUCUAUCAGCAGGGGAAGAUAGUGACGGUACCUGACUAAGAAGCUCCNGCUAAAUACNUGCCAGCAGCCNCGGUAAUACNUAUGGAGCAAGCGUUAUCCGGAUUUACUGGGUGUAAAGGGAGUGUAGGUGGCCNUGCNAGUCAGAAGUGAAAAUCCGGGGCUCAACCCCNGAACUGCUUUUGAAACUGUAAGGCUAGAGUGCAGGAGGGGUGAGUGGAAUUCCUAGUGUAGCGGUGAAAUGCGUAGAUAUUAGGAGGAACACCAGUGGCGAAGGCGGCUCACUGGACUGUAACUGACACUGAGGCUCGAAAGCGUGGGGAGCAAACAGGAUUAGAUACCCUGGUAGUCCAAGGGCGAAUUC